AUAAAUGUUGUAUUAUAAAGUCUAUGUGAUAACGUGAUGAUGAUAAUGUGUUGCUUGUGUAUUGUUUUAUGAAUCUCACCCAGGUAAAUGGAAAGUAAACGUUUUUAUGAACAAAUGAGUUUAUUACAAAUUAUGCUCCAUUGGUCGUUUUUGUUUUCUACCCACCCUUACUCCUGUGGCAGUGAGGUAGAGUGAUGUCUUUACUGGGCUAGUGUAGCUCACUCCUUACUUAACCAUUUCAGAUCAGGAAGACGUGGUUCCCGAGCCUGUUCCGCAGGAAGACGGCGAAGAGGACGCCUAAAGAUCCCAUAGUUAUAAUUGUAGUCUUACUUUCGAGCAUUUAUUUUAAUUAGUUUAUUCCCUCAUUUGUUGAACACGUUUUGGUAUUGCGUAAGGGAUAUUAAUUGCAAUGUUUAAUACACUUCCGCAAAUUCAGAUUUUUUAUCUAUAUAUAUGCCCU
rnacentral:lncRNA from 1 species